CUGGCUGCUUUGCGUUCAAAGACUUGGGCUCAGGAUUCAGCACCCCGGACAGCGGCCUCACCUGUCCAAUUAACCACGCGGCUCUGACGUCAGAGAUAUCCUAAAGCAAUAAGCGAUGACAAACGUGGCUCGGGGCUGACGGAGGUCACCCGGACAGAGAACGCCGACAUCUGUACCCUUCACCCUCCAGCCAGUGUUCAUAGCGAGGAGCAUGAAGACCCUCUGCAAUGUAUUCAGCGAGGAAUGUCUGUCCCACUGUGCAACAGACUCCCCGACGGCUUCCUUCCUGCAGCUCAGGAGAAACAACGGAGAGAGAGAGAGAGAGAGAAAGAGAGAGAGAGAGAGAGAGAGAGAGAGAGAGAGAGAGAGAGAGAGAGAUGCAGGGAAGACGUCUCAGCAUGGAUAAAAAGACAAAACCAACAACAACAAAAACCCAGUCCGCGGAGGAGAGAGGGUUCCUUUCAUGAGAGGGAGCUGAAUGCCUUUGAGUUCUGCUCUAAUGAGACACAAUCCUCGAUAGAUGUGACAAUAUUUCAAGCCUGCUGUUUCUUUGGAGAUGCGUUGAGAAGGAGAUGUGGUGGUGGAUGUGGAUAAGGACCCAGAUAUUCUUUGCACAGGAUUUUAGAUUAACCGUCUUAUUUGGGGCGGUUUUCUUGCAGGCCUCGUGUAAAGUCAGAAAUAAUGAAAGCCUGUAGUGAUAUGAGGGAAUUAGUGAAAUCCAAAGAUUACUUUGUUGCAGCAUUCAGAGCUCAUGGUUAUGAAUUAAAAAACAAAACCAUGUUCUGUUUUUGACCAAGAGCAAUGUUGCUGUUUUAAAGCUCUCAAAUGAAGAUAGCAUCUGAUAUUUAAUUGCCUUUUUCGGCAUCAUAGACAUGGUCUGACAUUGGGAAAAUAAAGGUGUUUAACUGUA